rnacentral:lncRNA from 1 species
AGCAUGAAUGAAGUUCUAUUGGUUUUUUCUGUCCAAUGUGGCUUGUGUGCCUGCUAUUGAAUUUCAAAAAUGACAGAAAAUCUGAUGCAUAAGGUCUGCUGUCAUGGUACAAAGCAAGGUGUGAAAGUAUGGAUGAAAGUGUCCUUUUGUUCCAAAAUUCAAGCAAGUAGGACAUGGCCUUUGUUUUUGCUGUGUUAGGCUGCAAAAUGGAGCUUCAUACUGACAGAAAAAUGAUCAAUAAAACUCUGUUUGAAGGGUACAAAGCAUGGUCCAUGAAAUGGUGGGAUAGAGUUAGUAGAAAGUUGUACUUUUGUUCCAAUGUUCAAGCAAAC